GUCUACGGCCAUACCACCCUGAACGCGCCCGAUCUCGUCUGAUCUCGGAAGCUAAGCAGGGUCGGGCCUGGUUAGUACUUAGUACUUGGAUGGGAGAAGAGAAAGAGGGAGGUACCCUUGAAC
ensembl:rRNA 5S_rRNA 5S ribosomal RNA